UUUGGCCAUCAGCUUGCUCUCUGCAACUCUCAAAUGGUCACCCAUUGAAGCUAAGCAGGUCUGCAACCGGUCAGUACCUGGAUGGGAGAUCACAUGGGAAAGCUAGGUUGCUGCCGGAA
ensembl:rRNA 5S_rRNA 5S ribosomal RNA